GCACAUCUCGAGAGACCUUUGUCAGGGCCCUGGAUCAUUCAGACUCACUUCAGGCACUGUGGGGUCCUCAGCCCUGAGGAGCUACACAUUCCUGUUCCUGCAUGGAAGCAGCAGGUAUGACCUACGCAGCAAUCAUGCAGUGAAGGUACAGAAGAGAGACAAUGGAGUUCCUUCAGUGUGACCACUUGGAAUCUGCAUUUGUGUUUAAAAUCCCAGACAGUGACUUAAGGUUAGAACUUCGAGGUGCACCAUUUUAUUUGUUACUUCUGCAGGCUCAUGUAUUGAGCAAAUAUCAGUAUCCUGGAGCCCAAAUACUGCUGAAAGCAACUGAAAAUAUGACACACUUCCUGAAUGACGUAGUGAACCAGAGCAUCUUUGUCUUGUUCCUGCGAGGCCUGGACCAGCUGCCCCAGAUGAAGCCCAGCCUCAGGGCGAAGCUGCCCAACAAGCUUCCAACUCAGAGGAAGCCACAGCUUGAGUUGCCAUUGAUGUUGCCAUUGGCCCAGGGGUGA
rnacentral:lncRNA from 13 species